GUUUACCACUAACUUCAAAUGUUUUGAGAGCAGAAUCAGGACUACAAUUCUGGCAAACUUAGUAUCUGAGCUCUUAAGAAACUGUAUUUCAUUGCCAGCUUUCUGAACCUUGAGAAAAUUUCAUUUUCAGGAAAGCUGCCAGCCUUUUUGGGUGACUAGGGUGUUGUCUUUGGUCUCCAGUCUCACCCUCAGAUCACUGUACCUUGGAAGAUCUAUUUCCACUCAGCUAUCCUUACACUAGCCUUUGAAGAGAAGCUAUCUUACAUACUGUAUAGGUCAGAUGCCUUGGAGGCAUUUUUAUCAGGUCACUUUUUCUGUCCACAUUGUUCUGAAGGUUGCUGCAGUAUUCCUGAAGAUGGUCUUGCAUGCCUAAAAUGAAGGACCACUCUCAGCUUUCCUGCCUUGCCCUAAUCUUUUAGAAUAUUUCCCCUCAUAUGCAAUGAAGGCUCAAGAGAAAGUUAAACAUUUGCUAAAAGUUUGACUUGUUUCUUUGUAUCUCUAUUUCUUGUGGAUUCUUCCUCAUCCUGCUGCUCUACCGGAAAUGAAAUCGGUUCCUUCUCUCUUAAAAAGAGCUUGCCAACUUCUGAAAUUUUGUGGGGUUUUUUUUCCUUUCUUGUAUUUUUUGCAUUCUUGUCUCUCUAAUGGACUGGAGAAAACCCACGAAUUUUGUGGCUUAUCUGGCUUAUUCUCAUUAUUAAGACGAGAGGAAGACGAUCAUGACUAUCAUUCCACCAGGCAUGAGAGCCAUUGUGGGACCCUUUUGUCAUCACUUUGAGGAGGUUGCUUUGCAUUCUCAGCACUUCAAUGUGUUUAACCACAGCCCUCCCACACACAAACACACACAAGCUAUGUUUUUGUAGCAUAUGUACCUUGUUCUCCUUGUUAAUGUAGGAGUGAUAGUCCUUUGUGACUUUUUACAUACUAGCUAGAAACAGUACCAUUUGCAUUGCAUAUACCCAAAUGUAUGUUUUUCUUACCCCCAAAUAAACUAUUAGCCCCUUGAGGAUAAGCAAUGUAAUUUUUAGUCAUUUAAAUUUCCCAUAAUGCCUAGUAGUUACUUGAUACAUAUUUAAAAUGAAUACUUCACAUGUUAUCAACUUAUUGGUGCCCAAGGAAACCUAGAACUGAAAGAUAAAUAUCUUAUUUACAGAGAUUACUAGCAGAGCUAUAAUCAAGGUGUAGAUCUCCUGGCUCUCAAUAAUUUUUCUCUUGUAUUGUAUUUGAUUUGUAAUCAUGAUAUUCUACGUGGUAUGUAGCUCCAAGCUGUUAUAUCAUCAUAAACAACAUAAUUGUCCUCAUCUUGUUGGUUAUAACUUUUCAAUAAUUGGUCAUGUGGUCAAGAACUCCAAUAAAAAUGUCAGAUGGCACUAGAGUCAUUGAGAGAAUAAAGUAUGUAAAUGCAUGCAUACACACAAUUUUAGCUAUAGACUUGAUAUAGAAAUAUAUGUAUGUACAUCAGCUUGUAUCAAAUAGAGUUAAAUGGUUGAAAUAGCUUUAAUAUGCGUAAUUUAAACUCUUGCCUUCCUUUUUAUAGCAAUUUCAUUUUUAAUGUUUUAUAUUCCAUUUUCCUUCUUUUAAUCUUGCUUUUCUGAUAUGCAAUCCUAUCUCAAACAAGAAGGCUAUUACUGAGCAGGCAAGUAGUUCUUUAAUUGAAACACUUAUGGGGCACACUAGAAAACUAUAAAGACUUUCAAGAAAUAGCAAAACUUUAAUAGGUUCUUGUGUAUUCGUGUUGUAACCUAAUUCAGUGCUCUUUCAGUAUGCCGGAGGAUGUUGCUAAUUUAUGGCUGUGAUGAGCAAUAAAGCAAUAAUAGUAAUCGAAAGGUGCAAUAUUCCUUGUUUAGGGGGCAUUUAUGGUUAUGUAUUAAAACUAUAAGUACUUCAAGAGGCUGUGAAACUGAUCUAUAGAAAAUGAAAGAUAAGAUCUCACUGCCUUCUAAAAGUGCUUUUCUAGCAGAAAUCUGAGCUUGACUUUAUGGUUUAUAAAUAUAAACAAAGCAGAAGUGAAAUGUUCAACGUGUCUACCCAUCCAAAGGGACCACUUAAAUAACCACUAGCACUCAAACCUAAUAAGGGCUGGAAAGUUCCUUUCUUUCUUGUUUUAUUUUUUAACUUUCUUCCCCUUAUACCUUUAUAAAAAUUGUUUUUCCUCUCUCCUUCAUAUCUUUUACACACUUAAUCCUCUUUCUCUAUUUCUGGCUUCUCUUUUCUCCCAUCUUUCCUCGCAUUGCUUUCUAUAUCCACAUUGGAUAAAAAGAAGCAAACUGUAUUUAGGUGGAACUAAGAUCCAGAAUGCAGCUCUCCUGGCUGACGGCCCCAGGACAAUAGGUAAGUAUAGCCAUAGGUAGGCUGAGUCUUUUCUGAGCCUUCUCCUCUUAGUUGGACCAGCCCCAAUCUCCAGUCUACCUGUCAAAGCAAUCCUUAACAUUAGUGCCUGUUCUGCAAAACUAUUCAAUAUCUUUGCCUCUUUUGUUCUUACCUUCACCACUCUAUGUUGUUCUUGUGCCCAUCAAUCUGGAUUUCUGGACUUUUACCUUGUAUUUAAUAUUCGCUUCUGGCACUUAUGUUUGGUGGCCCAUCAUGUGCCUUUUAAAAAAAUCUUUCUGGAUUUCUGUUAUCUAAAUACAUAAUUUUGGCUUCCUCAUACCUCUGGUCCCUACCUCACUUGUCUCUGUGCCCCGGAUUCCUCAAAGAAGGGGGUUAAUGCACAUAGGUCAAUUGAUUUCUAACCUAACCCAGAGCCUACUUAUUCUUUAAAGUUGGGGUCAGGUGAUUCCUCUGGUUAGGAUCCAUUCUCUGUACUCCCACUAUUUUCUACAUACACCUCUGCAUUGCACUUUUCAGAUUAUAUCUGAGCAUGUGUCUGUAUAGUGGCUCCUCAGAUCUGUGGCCCUUUAUCUUUAGUCCUGAGGAGUCCCUGUUUGAUGAUGAUUCCAGAAGGAUUAUCUUUACGCAAGAGAGAGAUAUGACCAGAGGAGGUUGGGUAAGAAAUCUGUCUGUUCCAGCUUUUCCAACACUUCUUUAUCAUUCGAACCGCCAGGUUAUGAGCUCUGUUUUAUUUCUCAGGGCCUGACUACCAUGAUCAGUCCAUAAAUAUAAGUGAAAUGAUUAAUACAAUGAUCAGCUUUACUUACCUAACAAAUAUUUAUUGGUACCAGGCAGUAUUUUCAGGUUCUGGAAAGCUAACAGUAAACAAGUCAAGUCCCUGCCAUCAUUAGACUUAUAUUUCAGUGGGGCAUCUAUAUAACAGAUAAACAAAUUCAUAUAAAAUAAAAUGUUGUGAAGUGAUAAGUGCUAUAGAGAAGAAAUCAGGAUAAUGGAUUGAGAAUGACAGGGUGCUAGAUAAUCAAAUUCUAAGCAUGAUGAAACCUAUUGGCACUCUACCAGUCUGACUCCCUGACACAAAAUAAGGGAGCCAUUGUUUUCUAACUUGGGGCUUUUAAUUCCAUUUUCUAUACCCCUGGCUCUUCCGAUGAUGAAGUAUUAGGAAAGCUGGAACAGACAUGUUCCCUACUCAACCUCUUCCAGUCAUCUCUGUCUCUUCCAUAAGAUCCUCACUGUGUCUGCAUCAGUCAAAGGCGGGCCCAUGGAUAUUUCAGAACAUACAUACUGGACUGUGUUAUGAUGAGAAAAACUAGGGGCCAAAUUCUGAUAAUCAAGACUUUUUAAUAAUUUUUCUCCACCCAGAGUAGAAAAACAAGUCUUCCCCUAGGAAAACGGAGGCUUGACUGUAUCUCUCUCUAGUGACAGGUUGAGAAAAAACACCAAUGGCCGUAUCUCCCAAGAAAUCAUGCUUAGAUGCUCCAACUCUUUUCAGACCUUCCAAACUAUGAUGGCAUCACCUUACCUAUUCAGCAUUACCUCUGGGCUCUUCAACACACAUUCUUUGUAUUUCUUGGUGGUUCACUUCACUGACAAGCAACACAGCAUGUUCCUUCUUGUCCCUGGGACAAGGGCUCAGUAGUAGGGCUCAGUAAGAAGAACAUGAGCCUUAGAGUCAAAGACAUUUGUUUUCCUACCUACUAUCAGCAUUUACUGUGUGGCUUUGGUAAACAUCUUAACCUCUGUGGAACUAUAACAAGGAUAAUAAUACAUCUUCUUCCAGUUCUUCUGAGUACUAAAUGAGGCAUUGUAUACAUGUAAAUCACUGAGCGCCAUGUCUAGCACAUAGUCUCUUCUUGUCUUACUGGGACCCAGUGUGCCCCCUUCCUUCAUCUUUUAAGACCCAACUCUAGGCCCAUUUCCUAUAACCUCCAUAAUAUAGGUUAAUAUGUAACUUAUAGGUUACAUAUAGGUUAAUAUGUAACUUAUAGGUUACAUAUAGGUUAAUAUGUAACUUAUAGGUUACAUAUAGGUUAAUAUGUAACCUAUAUUACAUAUAGGUAAUAGUUAUAACUUUUAAUGCCUUUUUCUAUUGAUUUUAUCAUCUGUAUCAUUUCUGUUUCUUUCUAUUGAUCGCAUUCUCUCCUCAUUAUGAAUCACAUUUUCCUAUUUCUUUGUAUGGCUGGACUUUUUAAAUUGGAAUUUUAAUUGUAACAUUUUACCUUUUGAAUAUCUCAUUAAUUAGGUAAAGACUGAUCUGCUGGACUCUAGUUUCCUCCUCCUUUAAAUAUCUGCAGCACAUGUGGUUAGUACCAACAAACAUACCACUUAACAAUUUCCUAGCUUGAGUCUUUUACAAAUUGUUUCUCUAAGAACAGGGACACCUUACUCUUCUAUGUCAUGGUAGUCCCUAGCACAGACCUGGAGCACAAGCUCAUUGAUUAAAAUAAUAGGACACAAACCAUGUCAGUUUUUUUUCUCAAGGGUGUCUAGAUUUAUUUUGACUCAAGUGAAAUGAAGCAUUCCUUUGAAACUAUCUAGAUAAUAUAAACUAUUGAACCCCAGAGACUUGCUUUCUAAAAUAAUUAAGGCAAAAUGAAACCCCCUGUUUUUUUCUGGCACAUACAUUGAUUCAUCUAAUGAACACAACAUUACUCCUUCUUAGCUUUACCAAGUAUAUCUAUUUUCUGAUAGAGACUCUGAGGGUAAGUAACCAGGCCAAGAUUAUACAACGAAUUGGGUAAAGAGAGGCCACGUUGUAUAAGAAGAGUCAAAGCUAGCAACUCUGAUCCCAGACCACAAACCAUGCCUUUUCCUUUAUGCAGCCCUGCCUCUCUCUCAGUUUAUUAACUUCUUAUAGUUAGACAUUAUCACUGUUUUCUCCCCAUACCCAAAUCUCCAUACUCCAAAUGCCUAACUGGUCAGCAUUAAAGAUAUGGCACAUUUAAGGCCGCCUAUUGUUUCAGAGUCUUUUAAGGUUCAUUCUUCGCUUUCCCAGUAGAAGCAAGUACAAAACAAAACAAAAAGAGAAAAAUAACCCAUGUUUCCUUAUACUAGAGGCCAUUUGCAUGGUGUUUCUGGACUUCUCGUUCCUGAGAAUUCUCCAGAUAGUCAUUACUUACUCUCUCCUUCUCUCUCUAUCAAGAGAAGGGAAACUAGCAGAAUGACAGUAUUUUUCUGUUUUGAAAGUUCAAAGCCACUGGUUUUCUGUUUGCUUUCCCACUCUGUUAGAUAUAUCCCUAGAUACUGAUGGGAGAAGGACUGUCAGAGGUUUAGAGAUAAAGAGAAAGAGGAAGAAAGAGAGCAGUGCAAAACAGUGGUUUGAAGGACGACACAAACCUAGGCUUAUUUCAAAAGAGACAGCCACAAUGUGCUAGCACUUAUGGUGACAACAGAGCUGACAGGAUGGGACUUUCUUUUAUCUUUUUUGUGUUUUCUUCAUCUGCAAGGCAUGGUGUUGUGGAAAUGUCUCCCAAAUGCUGGGGAAUAAACUGAGGUUGUAUUAGUUAGAUAUUGCCGAGUAACACAUACACACACAACUCAGCAGCUUAAAAAUUAAGCAUUUAUUAUUUCUCAUAGGUCUACAUGUCAGCUGGACGGUCCUGCUGAUCGGCUCUAGUCUUUGCUCAGCUGGGCUUGCUUAAGUAUCUGUGGUCACCUGGUGGAGAAGCUCUGGACUAGCUUCUCACAUGUAUGGCUGUCGGCUAGUGUGAUGAGUGACUGGGCCAUGUGUCUCUCAUCAUCCAGCGUUCCAGUCUGGCUUAUUCUCAUGGGUUAAGCACAAGUCCCUAGAGAGAAAGGAAGUUGUCAAGACCUCUUGAGGUCUAGCCUCAGAAAUGGCACACCAUCAUAUUUUUUCAUUCUAUUAACUACAGCAAGUCAAAGACCAGCCAAGAUUCAAGGUAUGGGAAAAUAGGCUCCACCUAUUGAUUGAAAUGGAUACAAGGUCACACUGCAAAGAACAUGAAUUCAGGGAGGAGCAAUGACUUGCAGCCAGUUUUGUAGUCUACCAUAGUCUUUCUUCUAGCCACAAGUAUUUCUCUCAAGUUUCAGUCCCUUUCAGGACCUCCACCAAGAUCUUGUGAUUGACAUCAUGUCUGGAUGCAGCUGCUUAUAAUCCACAGCCUCUGAAUAUAAAGACAGGUUAUGUCCCCGAAACACAAAAGAUACAAUGAUGAAGAGGAAUAAAACGACUACAACAAACACUUCCACUCAAAAAAGGGACAUAACAGAAGGUGCUGAUCAGAAACCCACAAAUAUCUGCCAGGCUGGCAACAGACCCUAAAGAGAGGAGCCUGGGAGGUAGGCAAUAUUAUCGCUAUGUUACUGAAGAUACAACUGAGGCGUAUCUCAAGCUACUUAUGCCAGCUCUUAUUGCCUGUGAGGAUCAAGCCAAAAUCAAACAGAUUAACAAAAAACAGUUGAGGAGCAAGCUAAAUUCCUACAGGCAAUAGUGGGACCAGAGCUCAUAGGCUGGCACCAAUAGUACAGUUUGGUCCCAAGGAGAAGCAGCAAGGCCAUGCAGGGAAUCACAUAAACAGGUCAGAUUUGUUUGAAGCAGUUUGACAGAGGAACAGACUAUAAAUUGUGGAAACCUGCCCACCUUUGUUUAUUCUUUGGCUGUGGAGGAACCAAGGAUAAAUAACUUGUAUACAAGCUCCUGGGAAUAAAGAAAAUUCUAACUA